GACGAAAGCUAGGGGAGCGAAUGGGAUUAGAUACCCCAGUAGUCCUAGCCGUAAACGAUGGAUACUAGGUGUUGUCUGUAUCGACCCGGACAGUGCCGUAGCUAACGCGUUAAGUAUCCCGCCUGGGGAGUACGCACGCAAGUGUGAAACUCAAAGGAAUUGACGGGGGCCCGCACAAGCGGUGGAGUAUGUGGUUUAAUUCGAAGCAACGCGAAGAACCUUACCAGGUCUUGACAUCUAGUGCCAUCCUAAGAGAUUAGGAGUUCCCUUCGGGGACGCUAAGACAGGUGGUGCAUGGCUGUCGUCAGCUCGUGUCGUGAGAUGUUGGGUUAAGUCCCGCAACGAGCGCAACCCUUGUUAUUAGUUGCCAGCAUUAAGUUGGGCACUCUAAUGAGACUGCCGGUGAUAAACCGGAGGAAGGUGGGGAUGACGUCAAGUCAUCAUGCCCCUUAUGACCUGGGCUACACACGUGCAGUCGACGCGGCCGGUCGUGGGAGG
rnacentral:rRNA from 1 species